GACGAACGCUGGCGGCGUGCUUAACACAUGCAAGUCGAACGGAAAGGCCCUGCUUUUGUGGUGUGCUCGAGUGGCGAACGGGUGAGUAACACGUGAGUAACCUGCCCUUGACUUUGGGAUAACUUCAGGAAACUGGGGCUAAUACCGGAUAGGAGCUCCUGCUGCAUGGUGGGGGUUGGAAAGUUUCGGCGGUUGGGGAUGGACUCGCGGCUUAUCAGCUUGUUGGUGGGGUAGUGGCUUACCAAGGCUUUGACGGGUAGCCGGGCUGAGAGGGUGACCGGCCACAUUGGGACUGAGAUACGGCACAGACUACUACGGGAGGCAGCAGUGGGGAAUAUUGCACAAUGGGCGGAAGGCUGAUGCAGCAACGCCGCGUGCGGGAUGACGGCCUUCGGGUUGUAAACCGCUUUCGCCUGUGACGAAGCGUGAGUGACGGUAAUGGGUAAAGAAGCACCGGCUAACUACGUG
rnacentral:rRNA from 1 species